rnacentral:misc_RNA from 1 species
GAUGAAGAACGUAGUGAAAUGCGAUAAGUAGUGUGAAUUGCAGAAUUCAGUGAAUCAUCGAAUCUUUGAACGCACAUUGCGCCCCUUGGUAUCCCGAGGGGCAUGCCUGUUCGAGCGUCAUUUCACCACUCAAACCUGGCUUGGUGUUGGGCGACGUCCCCUUUGGGGACGCGCCUCGAAACGCUCGGCGGCGUGGCACCGGCUUUAAGCGUAGCAGAAUCUUUCGCUUUGGAAGUCGGGGCCCCGUCUGCCGGAAGACCUACUCGCAAGGUUGACCUCGGAUCAGGCAGGGAUACCCGCUGAACUUAAGCAUAUCAAUAAGCGGAGGA